GGACUUCCCUGGCUUUCCCGGGUAACCGGGAAUUAGGGUUCGAUUCUGGAGAAGGAGCCUGAGAAACGGCUACUACAUCUACGGAAGGCAGCAGGCGCGUAAAUUACCCAAUCCUGACUCAGGGAGGUGGUGACAAGAUAUAACAACGCGAUU
rnacentral:rRNA from 1 species